UACAGAGGGUGCGAGCGUUAAUCGGAAUUACUGGGCGUAAAGCGUGCGUAGACGGCUAUCUAAGUCGGGUGUGAAAGCCCCGGGCUCAACCUGGGAAUUGCAUUCGAGACUGCAUGGCUAGGAUGCGGAAGAGGGAAGCGGAAUUUCCGGUGUAGCGGUGAAAUGCGUAGAUAUCGGAAGGAACACCAGUGGCGAAAGCGGCUUCCUGGUCCAGCAUCGACGUCAGGCACGAAAGCGUGGGGAGCAAACAGG
rnacentral:rRNA from 1 species